rnacentral:lncRNA from 1 species
AGUGGGCGGCGACGCCGGCAGCUGGGACGAGGAGGGCCUCCUGGUCACCCUUCUGGGGGCCCGUACUGUCAUGCCUCAGAGCUGGCAAGUCGUCCCAGGGAAGACAACGGCCUUCCUGGAGGGAGGGAACCUUGUGGUUAGGCGCAUGGGGUGCGAAGCAGGGCCUCUACUUGGCCGACGCAGCUAGAAGACUAAGGUCAGGGGCAUUCUGGAUGCAGCCCACAAAGCUAGCUCUCUGUGGCACUGAGCAAGAUCAUCUCAGCCUCUCCUGAACUGUGACCAACUGGCUUACUCAAGGGACUGGAUCUGCUGUCCCGACAUGAUGGCAAGCUGCAGCACAUCAUGCAGAUUAAAGUUCAGCCUGCCUCAGACUCAGGAUAAAAACACAUUUGGGACAGUCUCGCUCAGCCUCAUUGCAGAGACAAGAAAUGUAUGAAAAGAAAGUACAGAGAAAAAAAAAGAAUGGAAUACACAUGAAUGCCGAACCACAUUGGAUAUGUAGCUGUUCAUGAAGAUAUUCCAGGGAAGGCCUAUCUAGUAGAGCCUCAAAUCUAUUUGAAUACAAAUGGCACUCAUUAAGGACAUCUGUCUUCUGUAAUGUCUACACAAAGUCUUACCGGGGUCUUCUUGGCUCUUAUUGACGGCUGAUGAAGGAGGGGUUUAUAAAGAAAACAAGCCAAAACCUGAAUAACUUGCUACUGAGAGCAGCACACAUAUUUUCCCAAAGUGCAAAGUUGAGAAGAAGUACAAAGCUUUGUUAAUAUUCUGAACAGUACUGCUUAGUAUGAUCUAAUUGAUGGAUUUUCCAUGGACUCCCUAGAGACUGAAAAAGAAGUUCCACAAUGGAUGUUCCUGAUGAGUGUGCAUUCGUAUAAUUAUUCAGAGACUCAAACUCCUACCAUUUAAUGUCUCCUCCAUUUCUGGAGUCCCAGGAGUCCUCUUCAAGAGAGCCUCUGUCUUUGGCUGACCUUCAUGAGAAAGUAUAUGGAGGUCACAUGGGUGAUAUUUCAUGCUGAGCCUGCACUUCUUGCUGCCACCAUGUGAAGAAGGAUGUGUUUGCUUCCUCUUUUGCCACAAUUGUAAGUUUCCUGAGGACUUCCCAGCCAUGCUGAACUCAGAAGAGGAAGUUGGAGGCAUGUGAGGUGCAGGAAGGAUUCUAAGCAGUGGUGCUGGCUUUGAAGAUGGAAGGCAUUGUACCUCAAUGAAUGUGACUGGUUUCUAGAAGCUGAGAGUAGCCAGCCCCCAGCUGACAGCCAACAAGGAAACAGGGACCUUGGUUCUCCAACCACAGAAAAUAGAUUCUACCAACAAGAAUGAGCUUGAAAGCAGAUUCUUCCCUCGCACUUAAAGUCUCCUGCAACUAUGGUGAUACACCUUGAUCCGGCAUCUUCCAUUCACCUCUCCAGAUUCAUUCUCCAUGCCUCAGUACUCUGUGCUAUUUCCCAGAAGGCUGAUCCUUAAGGACUACACCUGUGGGAUCCCUUGUCACUGGCAAUGGGACAAUGGGAGGUGCCAGCAGAAAAUCAGAGUGAUGAAGAAUGAGGUCUGGGUAUUUAUCUCCUGGCUUUCUGUAAGUAUACAAGGUGAUAAAAAGGAAAAUGAUUCCUAACAACUUGGGGGUAUGUGGAAGCAGGGGAAGGGGGUGCUGUGGGCUGAACUGUGUUUCCUCAAAGUCAUAUGCUGAAGCUCAAACUCCUAAUGUGACUGUAUUUGGAGCAGGGGCUUUUAAGAAGUAAAGUUAAAAGAUGUCACAAGGUGAACGUCACAAUCCAUUGGAAUAGGUGACCUUAUAAGAAAAGGGAGAGAGAUCUCUUCCUCUCCAGACACACACACACACACCCACACACACCAAGGAAAGGCCAUGUGAGCACGUGGUGAGAAGGCAGCCGUCUGUAAGCCAGGAAGAGAGACCUCACCAGAACUCAACCAUGUUGGCACCUGAUCUCGAACUUUCCAGCCUCUAGAACUGGAAGAAAGUACAUUUCUGUUUAAACUACCAGGUAUGUGAUAUUUUGUUAUGGCAGCCUGAAAAGACAUACAUGGGCAGGGAAGACUUCUCAGAGGUAUUUCUUGAGCUGAGACUUUUUGUUUCCUAGUGGUGGGAGGUAGGGUUUUCCAGGCAGAGAACACCAUGCAAUAAGGCACAAAAUUUCAGGGAAUAGUAUGUAUCAAGCACUUGGAUCAUAGAGUGCUUGGAAGGGAAGUGGAAGAGGCUGGAAAAGCAAGCAGAGGCCAGAUGUUAGGGUUUAAUGUCAAAGGCCAAGAAAUUUGCCUAAAAGAAGUCCAGUGGGAAACUACUGAGGGUUCUUAAGUCAUCUGAAGUAUGUAAUAGUAUCCAUGUUCAAAAGACCAUUCUUGUGAUUGUGUGAGAGGCCAGACUAAUAAAGAGGUAGAGAAUAAUUUAACUCUGAUUUUUGAAAUGUGCCCGAUGGAGCCCUCAGGGUCCUAAGUCAAGGAUCACCAUGAAGCUGGAGGAGGAGGCUAAGUGGGCAGGGUCAUGGGAUCCCAUGUCUACUUCACCCACAUAAGUUCUGUGGCCCUAGACUAGACCUGGAAUCUUUGUUACACUCAGGACAACUAGUCUAGAAUAUUUUACUUCAAAGACUGUACUGAAAGAGGCUACAUAGGGAGGUCAAAGGCACCUGCUUCAGCUCUUUUAGCUAUGGUGAAAAAGUCAGGGAAUUAUCAAGAAUUCUGAGAGAAAUGUGACUGGACCCAUGCCAGGAAGAUGUCAGAACUACUAAGAAAUACCAAUGGGGUGGACUGUUAUCAACCCCAGCUGAAUGACAGGCCAUAUGCAAAGUCCUAGACUAUUAUGGCUCUUAGAUUUUCAGACUACACCCAGUUGAUUAAAUGAGUCUGUGUGAUAAAUUGAAAUGUAAAAGGUUAUUUUCAUGCCAUGGAGAUCUGCUCUUGUCGGAUAUAUUUUCAUCUGAAAAUAUCGAUUAAAAUGAUUAAUAUAGACAUAACAAAAAUGACUAACUUGCUUUAGAGAAAAGAUGAUAUCUCUUAGGAAUGAGCUUUAAAAUCUCACGAGCGGUUUUUGGCAACUGCAUAGCAGAACUAAAAAGAAUGCAGGUUAAGUAUCUCUUACCCAAAAUGUUUCACAAGUAAAAUAAAACAGAAGUGUAUCAGAUUUCAAAUUUUUUUUAAAUUUUGGAAUAUCUGCAUAAACAAUGAGAUAUCUUGGGGAUAGGGCCCAAGUUUAAACAUAAAAUUAAUUUCUGUUUCAUAUACAGCUUAUGUACAUAAGCUGAUGGUAAUUUUAUACAUAUUUUAAAUAAUUUUGUACAAGACACAAAGGUUUGAAUGCAUUUUUGAAUGCAACCUGUCACACGGUCAGGUAUGUGAAAUUUUCCACUUGUGGCAUCGUGUUGACACUCAAGAAGUUUUGGUUUUGGAGCAUUUUGGAUUUUGGAUUUUAUGUAUUAUAAGAUUGUAAGGUAAAAACUAUGCCCAGGAGAGGGCAGUGCAGCCUUCUGUAAAGUUAACUAAUAGGCCCAAUAGAAAAUAGUGUGAGCAUUAAGAGCAGAGAUGUUCUAAUUCAUGAAAACUAUUUUGUGUUAAGUCACUUUACCUUUUUAAAACAUGAGAGACAUACUGCCACUUCUAUGUCCCUUGAAGAGACAGCACAAGGGAGAGCUGCUUAAGUCUUGUAAAAAAAAAUUCUGGAAAACUUUAGCUCCCUAAAACUGAAGAAUUGUAUCAAAACUGAAGAACUGUAUCAGUUCUAGCAGGUUUCUACUGACUUUCCUAUUUUAAACAAUUAUCUUUGUUUCUGAAAACUGAUUCAAUAAACUAGUUUUUAAAAGAGA